rnacentral:ncRNA from 1 species
AAAAAGACAAUGAUAAGGAUCAGUAAAUUAUCCGAAAUUUUCAGAGAGUAGGCAACUUGGCUGUAAUUGCUUAUAAUAACGAUAAUUGAACACCUCCCUUGGAGUCAAGACCUGAAAAUAAGUAAGGUUCUUCGGCACUGGCCGUUAUCCAGAACUUAAGUUGGAUCCGCAACACAGUGGAUCAAAUUGGGUGGAACCGCGUAUCAUACGUCCCUUUG